ACAAUCGAAUCGAGUAUCUUAUAUAUACAACUCUGUUUUGCAGCGACCUAUAACCAUGACAUUAAUGUAAAGGAUAUUCUGGGUGAUGGAACAUUCACAGUUCAGAGAAAAGUCUCAACCUAUGAACGAGAGAUUUUGGCAGUGUAAUCUUCAGGAAAAUGGUGUAAAUCUCAGGCAUAUAAUGACUGGAUCAGCAAAUAAUAAUCAAACUGUCAAUGGCAUAAGCUUAAAGAAAGAAGAAAAUCUAUCAAGCUUCUUGAGUUUUUUUUAACAUUCUUGUUACAUUACUGAGAUUCAAGUUAAGGUUGCAACAGAAAUCGAAAUGACAACAAAAAUGAGAAACAAUGUCACAAAUGUUGUAGAAUUUGCAAACGGUGUGAGUGAAGAAAGCCUAGAAAAGAUGCAGAAUCUUCAUGCAGAUUUCAACGGAACUAUCAUGCAGUUCCAGUGGUAUGCUAUCUCAGAUAUUUAGCAAUUUCUCAUAACUUACAGGAGAGUCAGAGGCUCAUAUCGUAACAGGGUGAUGAUGUAUCUGUUGGUUAUGAUGUGAAGAUAGGAGAUUACCAUACCUUAUGAGCCCAUAUGCAAUAGGGAGGGUCAAGUUUGAUGCAUUAGAACCAGAAAGAUGGUUUCAUCACAUUGUUGCUUUCAUCCACAAAGCUUCUUUAAGUUUACAGCUUUGCAGUCAACCUUCAAGUUAUGUCAUAUGACCAAAGCAAAAGUUUUGACAUGAUUUACUAUUUUGAUGAAGAAACACAAGAGGGACAAAGAAUUUGUUUGGCUCAAGAAUUUGCG